UGGGGAAUAUUGGACAAUGGGCGAAAGCCUGAUCCAGCCAUGCCGCGUGUGUGAAGAAGGUCUUCGGAUUGUAAAGCACUUUAAGUUGGGAGGAAGGGCAGUAAGCGAAUACCUUGCUGUUUUGACGUUACCGACAGAAUAAGCACCGGCUAACUCUGUGCCAGCAGCCGCGGUAAUACAGAGGGUGCAAGCGUUAAUCUGAAUUACUGGGCGUAAAGCGCGCGUAGGUGGUUCGUUAAGUUGAAUGUGAAAGCCCCGGGCUCAACCUGGGAACUGCAUCCUAAACUGGCGAGCUAGAGUAGGGCAGAGUGUGGUGGAAUUUCAUGUGUAGCGGUGAAAUGCGUAGAUAUAGGAAGGAACACCAGUGGCGAAGGCGACCACCUGGGCUCAUACUGACACUGAGGUGCGAAAGCGUGGGGAGCAAACAGG
rnacentral:rRNA from 1 species